rnacentral:rRNA from 1 species
CCUACGUGCGGCAGCAGUGGGGAAUAUUGCACAAUGGGCGCAAGCCUGAUGCAGCCAUGCCGCGUGUGUGAAGAAGGCCUUCGGGUUGUAAAGCACUUUCAGCGGGGAGGAAGGCGUUAAGGUUAAUAACCUUGUCGAUUGACGUUACCCGCAGAAGAAGCACCGGCUAACUCCGUGCCAGCAGCCGCGGUAAUACGGAGGGUGCAGGCGUUAAUCGGAAUUACUGGGCGUAAAGCGCACGCAGGCGGUCUGUCAAGUCGGAUGUGAAAUCCCCGGGCUCAACCUGGGAACUGCAUUCGAAACUGGCAGGCUAGAGUCUUGUAGAGGGGGGUAGAAUUCCAGGUGUAGCGGUGAAAUGCGUAGAGAUCUGGAGGAAUACCGGUGGCGAAGGCGGCCCCCUGGACAAAGACUGACGCUCAGGUGCGAAAGCGUGGGGAGCAAACAGGAUUAGAUACCCCUGUAGUC